AGCCAUGCGAGUCAUUGUAGUAAUACAAGGCAGACGGCUCAGUAACGCGUAGUCAACCUAACCUAUGGACGGGAAUAACCUCGGGAAACUGAGUAUAAUGCCCGAUAGAACACUAUACCUGGAAUGGUUUGUGUUCCAAAUGAUUUAUCGCCGUAGGAUGGGACUGCGGCCUAUCAGUUUGUUGGUGAGGUAAUGGCCCACCAAGACUAUUACAGGUACGGGCUCUGAGAGGAGUAGCCCGGAGAUGGGUACUGAGACACGGACCCAGGCCCUAUGGGGCGCAGCAGGCGAGAAAACUUUGCAAUGUGCGAAAGCACGACAAGGUUAAUCCGAGUGGUUUGUGCUAAACGAACCUUUUGACAGUCCUAGAAACACUGUUGAAUAAGGGGUGGGCAAGUUCUGGUGUCAGCCGCCGCGGUAAAACCAGCACCUCAAGUGGUCAGGAUGAUUAUUGGGCCUAAAGCAUCCGUAGCCGGCUCUGUUAGUUUUCGGUUAAAUCUGUACGCUCAACGUACAGGCUGCCGGGAAUACUGCAGAGCUAGGGAGUGGGAGAGGUAGACGGUACUCGGUAGGAAGGGGUAAAAUCCUUUGAUCUAUUGAUGACCACCUGUGGCGAAGGCGGUCUACCAGAACACGUCCGACGGUGAGGGAUGAAAGCUGGGGGAGCAAACCGGAUUAGAUACCCGGGUAGUCCCAGCUGUAAACUAUGCAAACUCAGUGAUGUAUUGGCUUGUGGCCAAUGCAGUGCUGCAGGGAAGCCGUUAAGUUUGCCGCCUGGGAAGUACGUACGCAAGUAUGAAACUUAAAGGAAUUGGCGGGG
rnacentral:rRNA from 1 species